UGUCCAUUGCUCGUUGUUCACUGUCACACUUGUUGUACGUUGUAUUUUUAAAGUUAUUUACCGUAUGUGAUGAAUAAUUAUAAUUAUUAUUAUUAUUAUUUUAAUUAUUGUAAUUAAAUUAUGGAUUCCACAUCUACAAAACUAAGUAUUUGUCAUUGCGGCAAAAAAAUGAGAAGCUUAAAUUCACAUAAUUAUAGGUUGCACAUUAAAUCAUGCAAGCAACGCAAAUUGUCUGAGACUAGUGUCAAAAUCAGUAUCUUUUUUAAGGUGAAAACUGUGGAAUAUGCAACUAAUGUGACUGAUGACACUGUAUCAGAAUAACAUAACUGUUUUUCAAUGGAUCAAAACAGCCAACAAUGUAAAAGCUUUAUUAAUACCAUCUAAUUCAUCUUCUGUUAACAAUUUAGAAGCUUUAUUAAUAUCAUCUAGUUCAUCUUCGGAUACACCUAAUGUGAUUAAUGACACCAGUGGCGUAGCCAGGAAUUACCUGAGGGGGGGGGGGUUAAUGACUUUUUUUUUCUCACCUCUAAAAUAUAUUGUUCAGGAGUGGUAAAACCAAAUGCGCUAAAAUGUACCGAGUUAUACGUUUAUAUACGCUUAUUUAAUAAUAAAUUUAUUUUUGAUUAACUGAAGCUGAAUAAUUAUAUUUAUUUAUGUUAAUA